AGUGAGAAACAUUACAAAUAAAAUUUAAAUACCCGUCAUUAAACCUUUAUUAUUUAUUACUCACUUAGGUACCUACUUACCAAAUUGUAUUAGCUGCAUCUAUUUACUCUCUCUCGGUUGAUUAUCAUAUAAAUAAAUAAUAAAUUAACUAAUAUGUCAAACUAAUAAAAUACUUAAACUUAAAACCAUCUAAAUUUCCAUUCUCAAUAAGUACCCAAUUACCAGGUUUAUAAGCUGUCGUAAGACAGCUACUAAAAGCCGUCAAUAUCUCAAAGGAAUGAGGAUUUGUAGUAUUUUAGUAAAGUGACUAUUACAUCCCUGUAGAGCGCGGACACCUGGGGACCGGUCGCACUCGUUCCGAGUGUUCCGACCCACGCAAUGCUCCCUACCACGUACAAACUGCAAAACAACAACGCGACAACUCCAUGAAAACAACAGACUACAUCGCUUUUUCGAACACGAGGUCUGAGGAAGCGAAAUGUCACUCCAGUGCCCCACACAUCCCCACGCUAGAAAUUUAAUUAAUUUAAUAAACGGCAGCGAACAUGCAGCAUCAAAUAGGUAGUGACGUACAGAGCCCAAAUAUAUCGUCACAGACGUUUAGCUUUGUUAUCAUAGAAAUAUGCCUUGAGGCCCUACUGCGAAAAACGAAAAUCGAAAUUUCUGCCUCCCUACCGCUCGAAUAUGUAAAAGUGAUAGUGGCAGAUAACGAAAAAUCGAUUUACGGUUCGGUAGGCCCUCUGUCUCAUUAGAACCCAAAUCCACGGAUUUCGUGUUCCAAAGGCAUGUAGGUACCAAAAGGUACUAUUUCAAUAAAUUCUUACUCUUGUUUUAAUUCGUAACACUUCUAGUCGCAUCAUAAUGGCUGGAGUACUAACGCUAAAAGUCUUCAAAAACUUUGAAAUUAUGUUAAUAGACUACUGAACAAUGUAAUUAAUUAUAAAACAUGUGAUAUUUCGGACUCAUCUACAACAGAAUAACAGCCAUUAGCAACCAAAUAAGGCUCGGAUUGUACAUGACCCGGAUAUUCGACUAAACGGAAUAUAUUACACGAUAUAAUGCGCUCAUUAUGCAUGUAAAAAACAAGGAAAUGAGUUCGAGUAGCAAAAAUUUUAGUUUUUAUUCUGAUUACAAUAGGAUUCACUUAGCAUUAGCACGUCACUUAUGCUUAACUUUUUAUUAGGUGUAUACCUAAGUAAUAAAUUAUUAUUAUAAAAAAAUACUUUAAGUAGCCAUUAUAAAUUACAUAUAUCAGCAUAUACCAAACCUGGUUAUUGGUAACUUUCCGAUUUACAAUUGUAUCGGUAACUAUGAACUCUAUGUAAUGUAUUUAAAUAACUACGAAUUAACAUAUCACUUUGAGAACGUAAUAACUUUAGUUCGCAUUAUUACUAUUGUGUCAUAAUAAUACAUAAGUACCUAGUUAGUAUACGAAUUCUCUUGGUCACGCGAUUUUGCAAGCUCACGUGAAUUAUACUUCGAGAAUUGAAUUAUGUAUUGCGUACAUUUGAUUCGUGUACCUACAUACUUACUAACAUAUCACACACCAAAAUAGUCAGUGAAUUCGUACAUUUUAAAUGUACAGAAAAACCGUAAUUAGAAGUCUGUGCUAAUUCUUUUGUGUACUUAUAUGUUUCUUUCUUUGUGAAACUAAUUUUAUUAGUAAGUCAAGUAUGACUGUUACUGUACAGAUCAAUAGUUGUUACAGUUUCAUUGUGGGUAUAAGGUUUUAAUAAUUUAACUCUCUUGCAAAUAAAUUUACACACAAUUAUAUUUUACUUGUAUAGUUAUUAGUAUUCUAUUUAAUUUGUACCUAUAGCUUGUAGUUGCGCUCUCUCGGAAGGGUUUCCACGGAAGACCAGCGUCGGGGUCCCCAAAGGUUCCUUGUCAUGAAGCUGAGUGGAGACCAUUUCAGUGACGCUUUAUAAUGAUACUAUGUCAGUGCUAUUAGUUAAGUUUAAAUUAAGCGUUUUUGAAUAAAGCUUCUUCUAUUCUAU